rnacentral:sRNA from 1 species
CUGACAGCACUGGAAAUUGAAGUCCUCUAUUUCUCCACAGGACUGGCAUAGCAUGGGCGGAGGCAGCCAUGCAAGCUUCGCCACACUGCCAUGCCAAUGUGUCUCAACCCUCUUCUGAAGAGAGCACUUCUGGAGGUGAGUGGGGAGUCAGUCUCUAUGUCUGUCCAAUCAUUGGCCUAU